rnacentral:rRNA from 1 species
GACGAACGCUGGCGGCGUGCUUAACACAUGCAAGUCGAACGGAAAGGCCCUGCUUUUGUGGGGUGCUCGAGUGGCGAACGGGUGGGUAACACGUGAGUAACCUGCCCUUGACUUUGGGAUAACUUCAGGAAACUGGGGCUAAUACCGGAUAGGAGCUCCUGCUGCAUGGUGGGGGUUGGAAAGUUUCGGCGGUUGGGGAUGGACUCGCGGCUUAUCAGCUUGUUGGUGGGGUAGUGGCUUACCAAGGCUUUGACGGGUAGCCGGCCUGAGAGGGUGACCGGCCACAUUGGGACUGAGAUACGGCCCAGGCUCCUACGGGAGGCAGCAGUGGGGAAUAUUGCACAAUGGGCGGAAGCCUGAUGCAGCAACGCCGCGUGCGGGAUGACGGCCUUCGGGUUGUAAACCGCUUUCGCCCGUGACGAAGCGUGAGUGACGGUAAUGGGUAAAGAAGCACCGGCUAACUACGUGCCAGCAGCCGCGGUGAUACGUAGGGUGCGAGCGUUGUCCGGAUUUAUUGGGCGUAAAGGGCUCGUAGGUGGUUGAUCGCGUCGGAAGUGUAAUCUUGGGGCUUAACCCUGAGCGUGCUUUCGAUACGGGUUGACUUGAGGAAGGUAGGGGAGAAUGGAAUUCCUGGUGGAGCGGUGGAAUGCGCAGAUAUCAGGAGGAACACCAGUGGCGAAGGCGGUUCUCUGGGCCUUUCCUGACGCUGAGGAGCGAAAGCGUGGGGAGCGAACAGGCUUAGAUACCCUGGUAGUCCACGCUGUAAACGGUGGGUACUAGGUGUGGGGUCCAUUCCACGGGUUCCGUGCCGUAGCUAACGCUUUAAGUACCCCGCCUGGGGAGUACGGCCGCAAGGCUAAAACUCAAAGGAAUUGACGGGGCCCCGCACAAGCGGCGGAGCAUGCGGAUUAAUUCGAUGCAACGCGUAGAACCUUACCUGGGUUUGACAUGGAUCGGGAGCGCUCAGAGAUGGGUGUGCCUCUUUUGGGGUCGGUUCGCAGGUGGUGCAUGGCUGUCGUCAGCUCGUGUCGUGAGAUGUUGGGUUAAGUCCCGCAACGAGCGCAACCCUUGUUCACUGUUGCCAGCACGUUAUGGUGGGGACUCAGUGGAGACCGCCGGGGUCAACUCGGAGGAAGGUGGGGGUGACGUCAAGUCAUCAUGCCCCUUAUGUCCAGGGCUUCACGCAUGCUACAAUGGCUGGUACAGAGAGUGGCGAGCCUGUGAGGGUGAGCGAAUCUCGGAAAGCCGGUCUCAGUUCGGAUUGGGGUCUGCAACUCGACCUCAUGAAGUCGGAGUCGCUAGUAAUCGCAGAUCAGCAACGCUGCGGUGAAUACGUUCCCGGG